UAUGUACAUCCUUUGUCUUAAAAUUCUUGUUUUAGAUUUGUCUAGAUAUGGAUGUAUCUAAUACUAAAACAUGACAUUAUACAUUUGUAUUUAAACAAAUUUAAGAUAAGAAUUUUGGGACGAGGAAGUACUUG
rnacentral:pre_miRNA from 1 species